CGAUCUCAAUCUUCUCCAUUACGGUUGUCUUCCUUGCCAGUAUAAGAUGGGUUCUUUCUAAUUCAGAUCUUGCUUGCCUUAUAUCAUGACAUGUUCUUUGCCGGUGUGAGCAUAGCAUGAUUCUUUCACCGGCAUGUCUUUUGUAUGGCAUUAAUUUUGUUCAGGAAUCAGUUUAAGUGAAGAUCGAUGGUUUUUAGAUUAAGUGGAGAAUACUGAUUACUCUUCUGAAGUGUAUUGUUGUUCAAUUGAGACAUAUGCAGUGGGCAUGAAGGCAGCAGGUUGAUUAAAUCCACGGUAAACGCUAUGCAUUCAGAAUUCCUAUAGUUAUAAAUAGGGUGAAAAAGAGAUAGACAACCAAUAUUGAUUUAUGAGCUGUUUAGUCAGCUCCUGCUGCUAGACGCUAGCGCCAGGGCGUGCAUCGCGGCUGUCCACUUUUGCCGACUGCUCCGGUGCAACGGUGCUCCUGCUGGUUGCUGUUAGCUGCUAGCGCCAGGGCGUGCAUCGCCGCCGUCGGCUCCGGUGCUCCUGCUGGUUGCCGCUAGCCGGCUAGCUGCUAGCCCGCUGUGGUUUGCACGUCACAUGCGCCUGGGCUCGUGGUGUUUGUUGUGUUCGUCAGUUCCUGUUCGUACCUUCGUGAUGACUGGUUCAGUGUGUCGUGCGUGUGGGUCAUAUGUCCAGCCAUUGAUAGGGCACGACCCAAAUUAGGAGCCUUCUCACAAGUCACGGCCCAACAUCAAAGAGAACUCAUUUUUUUCAGCUAUUUAUUGCACCUGUCACCCAUCGAUCGAGCUUAUACGGAUAUGUAUAUUACAGUAUAUUUUUCCGGAAAUAAAGGUGGGCUGGGCAUCCUGCCUCGCCCUACCUAGAGCUCCACCGGUGCUAUUGCUAAUAUCCUUGUCCUGUAGUAGCUUUAGUAUUUCUCACAUUUUUUCAGCUACAUGUGUAAAUGUAGUUACAUUUGAGAGAGCGGGAGAUAUUUCUUUGGGAUUAUUUUACAUAUCUUUGUUAUCUAGGUAUCUAAAUUAUUGCUGAAUGCAUCUUCAUGUGAGAAAAUGUGGACGGCUACAAGAGAAACAUAAACUUUGUCAUAUGAAGUUGGAAGUGUUGAACUGCUCAAACUUUCUACUUUGCAAACAAAUAAAGUGAUGCAAGGUACUCAGAUGUCUGUUGUUGAUGAGAAUUGACAUUGGGUUCAAAAUUAAAUUAGUGCUUAAUUGUUGCCUUGGUGAUUGCUACUAUUUCAUUGUUUCAGAAACAUGUCUACUCUUGGACUGUUUCAUAGUUUAUGUUUUCAAAUCCGCUAUAUACAUAUAUCUACCUCAUGUUGAUGCACUAUCAAAAUUGACUCAUUAAUUCCUUGUCACAUUAUUUUGCUCAGACUGGCUUGCCCCUAAUUUAUAAAUGCUGCCAAAUUUCGAAAUCUUACUUCAUAUGCAGCUGGAAGAAUUCCAAGAUAGAGCUAUUGCUUCAAGGUUGGGAUUGGCCACAACAUAAUUGACAUCAAAACCAGAUCUGGGUCCUACAUAUCCGGUGUUGCUCGUAUCCUACAAUGGUUUACAGAUGGUGUGGCUCCUUACAGUAAGAUGAUCAAGCAGCGAUCUAGAGUUCUCAAUACAGAUCGAUGACGCCUCCUCGGGAUCCACAUCUCCGCAGCCCCCAACCCUGGUAUAGUAUGAAAAACCUACAAAUAAAUCAGAAGAAUAGGUAAUUAUGGGAUGCUUAUGUUUUGUUGGUGUAGUAGUCGUUUUAAGUCCAGUCCUAGAGGAUGUUGCUUGACGCUUCCCUUUAGUCGAGUGACUUUGCAUGCUAAUAGUACAAUAGAUAAAUCUAAUUAAUACUCCCUCUGUCCCAAAAUAAGUGAUUUAAGUUUGUACUAACUUUGUACUAAAGUUAGUACAAAGUUGAGUCAAUUAUUUUGGGACGGAGGGAGUACUUAUGAGUGCGUAAUGUUUUGUGAAAACUUUAAAUUCAUGGUGCAGUUGCGUCUUACCUUCAGUGUUGGCCUGUAGGUGUGUGUUUCAUCACUUCUCUGUUUCUUAUAACUGUCCUUGUUUUGUUUCUUAUAACUGUCCUUGUUUUGUUUCUUAUGUUUGUUUUUAGAUUUCUUUCAUCAACCUGCAGGCUCACUCAAGUUUUCCUUCAAUCUUCUACUUCGACCCCUAAUAUUUUCAUGCGAAAUGUUCAAGAAAUAUCCAAGAGAGAUACAAUUGCACUCGGCUUCAGAAGAUACACUGGAGAAAUUUGUGUUGUUGUGUUUUGAGUGAUGACUCUACCUGUAGUAGAAAUCGAUCAGGAAUACAUGGACGUGGAUAUGCAUUAUGGUCGUACUAUGGAUGUGGAUAUGCUCGCCAUAUUAGCUAUAUCUUUUUCA